UGGGCGUUAGAGAUUUGAGGGAACCUGACCCUAGUACGAGAGGACCGGGUUGGACGAACCUCUAGUGUACCUGUUGUGGCGCUAGCUGCAUUGCAGGGUAGCUAUGUUCGGAUGUGAUAAGCGCUGAAAGCAUCUAAGCGCGAAACACAUCUCAAGAUGAGAUCUCUUUUAAAGGUCGUUAUAGACUAUGACGUUGAUAGGCUACAGGUGUAAAGUCAGUGAUGGCAAAGCCGAGUAGUACUAAUUACCUGUAAGCUUUUAAUA
rnacentral:rRNA from 1 species